UCGACAGGAGUGCUUCGGCAGGAGUGGAGGACCCAAGCAGUACGGGACAGCCGGCAGGUCCGGUCGUUCCUCGGGGUGAAGCCGCACGGCGGCCGGGAAACUUCGUCCACCCGAACCCGACAGGUCAUCCUUCACAGGCGGCUGACGAAGGGUUGC
rnacentral:sRNA from 2 species